rnacentral:rRNA from 1 species
AUUGAACGCUGGCGGCAUGCCUUACACAUGCAAGUCGAACGGCAGCACGGGGGCAACCCUGGUGGCGAGUGGCGAACGGGUGAGUAACACAUCGGAACGUGCCCAGUAGUGGGGGAUAGCUCGGCGAAAGCCGGAUUAAUACCGCAUACGACCUACGGGUGAAAGCGGGGGAUCGCAAGACCUCGCGCUAUUGGAGCGGCCGAUGUCAGAUUAGGUUGUUGGUGGGGAAAGGCCUACCAAGCCGACGAUCUGUAGCUGGUCUGAGAGGACGACCAGCCACAGUGGAACUGAGAGACGGUCCACACACCUACGGGUGGCAGCAGUCGAGGAUCUUGGACAAUGGGCGCAAGCCUGAUCC